AUUAGCUAGUUGGUGGGGUAACGGCUCACCAAGGCGACGAUCGGUAGCCGGCCAGAGAGGGCGGACGGCCACACUGGGACUGAGACACGGCCCAGACUCCUACGGGAGGCAGCAGUGGGGAAUUGUUCGCAAUGGGCGCAAGCCUGACGACGCAACGCCGCGUGGAGGAUGAAGGUCUUCGGAUUGUAAACUCCUGUUGCCCGGGACGAAUGGCUCCAACCUAAUACGUUGGAGUGUGACGGUACCGGGUGAGGAAGCCCCGGCUAACUCUGUGCCAGCAGCCGCGGUAAUACAGAGGGGGCAAGCGUUGUUCGGAAUUACUGGGCGUAAAGGGCGCGUAGGCGGCCUUUUAAGUCGAACGUGAAAUCCCCGGGCUCAACCCGGGAACUGCGUCCGAGACUGGAAGGCUCGAAUCCGGGAGAGGGAUGUGGAAUUCCAGGUGUAGCGGUGAAAUGCGUAGAUAUCUGGAGGAACAUCGGUGGCGAAGGCGGCAUCCUGGACCGGUAUUGACGCUGAGGCGCGAAAGCCAGGGGAGCAAACGGGAUUAGAUACCCCGGUAGUCCUGGCCCU
rnacentral:rRNA from 1 species